GCCAGCUUUUAAUGGGGAAAGACACAAGAGGGGCUAGCAACUAUUUCAGCCUUUUCCUGGUUUUCACUUGGUUUAAAAAAGCGGGGAAAAGGCAGAGAUGCACGCCCUCUUCUGGCUGAGAAGUAAUUAGCAGAAAGAUCGUGCAAACCUCGCUGGGUUUUCCACCUGCCCUCUGAAGACCGCUAGAUAUGUGGUGCAUAAUAAAAGAAGAAUCAGCCUUAUCAUCGAUGUUUGCAGCAUUCUUCUGGC
rnacentral:lncRNA from 1 species